rnacentral:lncRNA from 1 species
AGGGGAGUAAAAGUUUUGGGGGGAAGUGGGAAGGAGUAAAAGUUUUGGGGGGAAAGUAAAAAGGUUUGGGAGUUUGGGGUAAAAAUGUAAAAUAUUAUAGUUUGAUAUUCGAAUUAUUCGAAUUAUUCGAGUCGAAUCGAGUUUUUUCAAUUUUUUCGAGUCGAAUCGAGUUUUGCUCACCCCUAGCCGUGUGACCUAAGUCAGAGAGUUACAUGGGGAAGGACAUGGGUUGAGACACGAUUGUGUGC